ACGGAAGGCAGCAGUCGGGAAUAUUGCGCAAUGGAGGAAACUCUGACGCAGUGACGCCGCGUAUAGGAAGAAGGUUUUCGGAUUGUAAACUAUUGUCGUUAGGGAAGAUAAAAGACAGUACCUAAGGAGGAAGCUCCGGCUAACUACGUGCCAGCAGCCGCGGUAAUACGUAGGGAGCAAGCGUUAUCCGGAUUUAUUGGGUGUAAAGGGUGCGCAGACGGGAAGACAAGUUAGUUGUGAAAUCCCUCGGCUUAACUGAGGAACUGCAACUAAAACUAUCUUUCUUGAGUAUUGGAGAGGAAAGUGGAAUUCCUAGUGUAGCGGUGAAAUGCGUAGAUAUUAGGAGGAACACCAGUGGCGAAGGCGACUUUCUGGACAAUAACUGACGUUGAGGCACGAAAGUGUGGGGAGCAAACAGGAUUAGAUAUCCUGGUA
rnacentral:rRNA from 1 species